GACAGCCAUGUGAAUACGAAGCAGCGACUGGAGGGAUGUUGCCACAGGCUAAGAGAGGGCAGCAGCCACCAGAAGCUGAAGAAGCAAGGAAGGAUUCUCUGCUGGAGCCUCUGCAGAGAGCACGGCCCUGCCAACACCUGAUGCUAGACUUCUGGCCUCCAGAACCAGGAGGGAAUCAACCUCUGUUGUAAGCCACUACACUUGGGGGAAGUUGUUGUGGCAGCCUUGGAAACUGACACAGACUCCUCAGUUUGAAAGGAUUACGUAUAUGAACGUGAGUGUAAGCCGGUUGAGAUGCGGUAGGAAGACUGUGGAGCUGUAGCCCCAGUAGACUAACCCCAGAGAUAAAAGGCAGCAAGCAAUCUUCCUGUGUUGUUCCCUGCCUUGUUCCCAAAGCACUGCACGGCCCUUGGCACACAGUUGGUACUCAACAAAUGCUUACCGACUUAAGAAUGGACGGCAUUGGCAGCGUUGGCUUUUCAACUCUGAUCUCCUGAGACUCUCUAGGAUGGGAAGGUGAGAGCAGAGUUGGCAGCACAAAGCCGAGGUGGGGAUGAGAAUGGCUGUGUGGGUCCCCAGCACCUGCCACGCUCGUAUUCUCCUGACAACAGGGGCUGGGCUCCUGGCUCAGGCCCCUGCAAUGGGAGUCCUUUCUGCUCACGGGGACUUAAAAAGGUCUCAGCAGCUGCUUAGGAUCAAGAGGUGGGAAGUCAGAACUCUACUGCUGUGCGAACACUGGAUCAGAGGCCACUUAAUCCACUGCUCCAUUUUGUAGCCUGGCUAUCCUGCCUGGAACCUCUGAGACUGUUCUGUUCCUCACACCCUCUCAGAAGCAUCUCAGCAAGCCCUGUGGGAUUCAGUGUGGGUCUCUUGAGAGUGGAAACACCCUCUACCUAUGUGUCACUGUGCCUCUCUUCCUGACACCACCCCCACUGGGAUCCACGAGAGAGGAGCAGAAGAACGGACCUCAGGCUGGGAGGUCGGGGCCGGUGUCUCUAAGGAGGGGGUGUUUUUGCCGAGGGACCUGAAGGACCAGAAGGGGUCGACCAUAUAACCGACCAUAUGGGGUUUCACAUGGAGGGAAGAAUAAGGGCGAAGUCUUGAGGUGUGGCUGUUUCUGGGCAUAAAGAGGAGACCAGUAGGGCUGUUGAGAAGUGUAGACAUCUCAGGCACGGUGAGUGAGGGCAGAGGACGCUGGAAGAGUGGGCUGGGGCCAGACCUUACAGUGCCAGGGAGUUUGCAUCUUAUUUGAAGUGCAGUGGGAAGCCAUAGGAGGCCAGGCUGCCUCCGUGUCCCCUCUGAUUCCAGGACAGUACUGCCUCCUCCCCACCUGCAGGACACCUCGAGUCUGUCCUCCUUCUGCCCCAGGGCUUUCUCCAGAACUACCGGGGUGGGGUGGGGGAAAGGUAGCAGGAAAUGAAUUCUCCUGCUGGGCCCCUUCAUCUCCUUCAACCACAGGAGAUGGAGAGUGGUGGAUAAAGCCUCCUGCUUUCCAGAUGGGGACUUCUAGGAGGCCUUCUGCACUCUGCUCAGAGGCCCUGUGCACGCAAGCCCCUAUGCCUACUAUAAUGGCCUCAGUAAUGUCCCCUUUGGGAAGCUGGGCCCUUUCUCUGUCUCCCACUUCCUGCUCUUUCACUCAUGCUUCCUGGGAUCAACUCCCAGAUCGAUUACCUGCACCCAAGUCCCUGUCUCAAGCUCUGCUUUUGGGGGACCCCCACACUAAGAUCAGUGUGGUGAUGUGAACACAGUGAGCAUAGAAUGGGUGGAUUGGGAUGGGCUGGAGGCACCCCUCCCCCUCAGCUCCCUCUCCCUGUGCCUGGGGCCCUGCACUCCUUCAUGGUCCCCUCUCCCUGGCCCCAGAACCAGUCCUGGUCAGGGACAGUCCCUGUGCUGAGGCCUGAGCAUGUCAGCCAGCUGGUAAAUCAACCCUGGCACCAUGGUGUGAGGACACCCCAGAAGCCUCGCUGUGUCUGCACCCGAUCCCCUCCGCUCCAUGGUGGCCUGGCGUCAGGCUCCCGAUGCGGGUCAUGCUAGGCUGGCCCAUCACUUGCUGGUCCCCAUCCUCCCACAUGGUUCUGCUAGGCUGCAACCUAGAUCAGACUCUUCGGCGAGCCGUCUGAGUCCCCAUGUGGCAGCAUGGCUGGUCCCCAGCGUUGAGGAUAUGCCUGAAUUAGGCUGGACCACACGGACCUCUGUCUUGUGGGUUUCUCAGGUCCUCGGCCAGAGGCUGCAGCCCCACCCUAUCGGCCCAGCCUGGGUCAACUAGGAUACCUAGUCUUGCCUCUUCCUCAGUUUCCCUAGUUCAGAGUAGUUUAGCAGCCCACUUAGCAGGGUAGGCCUCAAGAUGUGCUUCUAUUGUGGUGAGAGGGUCUGAAAUUAAGAGCAGCUAGGAGCUGGUGUUGUGGGUGUCCUGUGUGCUCAGAGUAGCCUCCACACACCCCCUUCUAAAUCACUCCCUUCUUGGCCCUGCAAAAGCCGUGUCCUUCUAACUCCCCUCCACUCUGCACCCCCCAGUACAGGCCCUUUAUCAGGACAUGAGUUGCCUGUGGCAGUGGACCCCACUCCUUCUAGGACGUUCUUACUUGGCUUGAUGCCUGGGAAACCAGCCCAUUCUCCUCCCUCUCCCCUGGGGGCCUGGCUCUCUUCCCCACCAUCAGCUCCUCCUGCUGCUCCCUUCUGAAGCUCUCCAGAACAUUCUGACUCAUCCUCUGACUCAGGUGGAGUCUAUUUCUGUUCCCACGUUCUGCUCCCUGAUGGGCUGGAGAUCACAGCUGUCACUCUGGGGGAAGGGGGCAGCGAGGAUCCUGUGCGUGUGCUUGUGCAUGUGUGUCCACGUGUGUGCAGGAGGCACACCACCCCCAAGAAGCUGGGGAGGGUGGUUCUCGUAUUCCUCCCCCACCUUAUAUCCCCCCAACUCCUCAAGAGCUGACAAGCAUCCCCCAAAGUUCCAGGAGAGAUGAGUGGUGGCAGUAGCCACGAAGAACCUCACCCUGAUCUUCUCAAGCUCAUUGUAUUAUGGAAGAUGCUUUUUAGCAAAGAACCUCCAAGUGGACGAUCGCUUCUGGCAAACUCUGAAUCCUAGAAUCUCUACAUAGUAGAGUUGACAGGAACCUAGAGGUUUGAAGACCACCACCUACUUGAUACUUUGGGCCUAAAAGAGACCCAGAUUGGUGAGGAACCAUGUCUGAAAUUAGCCAGCAAGCAAGUGGCCGAGCUGGAUUCAAAUCAUAAUUAAUUCAAGCCUUCUGUUGAUGUCAGAUAGUUUCCUGUCCUCUCGCCUGUCACCACCUAGGCCGGAGCCCCCUUCCACUAGGUAUGGUGGCCAGAGCCACUUGUAGCGAUUAGCAGUUGAAAUGUGGUGAGUCUAAAUUGAGAGGCACUGUAAGUAUAAAAUGCAUGCCAGAUUUCAAAGAUGUAGCAUAAAAAAUAAUAGGAAAAAUUCUCCUUAAUGUUUUUUUUACAUUAAUUGCAGGUUUGAAAUGGUAAUAUUUUGGAUAUAUAUGGGAUUAAGUAAAAUAUAGUAAAAUUAAUUUCACCCAUCUCCUUUUUAAAAUGCACCUACUAGAAAAUUUUAAAUUCCAUGUGUAAUUUAAAUAUGUAAUGGCUCAUGUUUGUGGCUCACAUUAUGUUUCUGUUGGGGCGGAUCAGCCCUCAGGCCAAAUCUGGCCUGGUGCCUGUUUAUAUAAAUAAAGUUUUAUUGAAACAUAACCAGGUUCAUUCAUUUACAUAGUGUCUAGGGGCAACUUUGCUUUAUAAUAGCCGAGUCCAUUAUUUGAGACAGAGACAUUUUGACCCUCAAAGCUUGAAAUAUUUACUCUCCAGCCCUUUACAGAAAAAUUCUGCUGACUCUUGCACUAGACCAUCAAUUUCAUGAGAACAAGGAUUAUGAGCUUGACACAGAGUUACUUCCUACUCAUCCAUGCCUGGGCCCCUGGCUCCUUCUGCAAAGACUCCCAUUCCAGGUCCUAGAAGCAAUCCUGACUGGGGAAAGCCUAGACCCUGCUCUGAGGCCUUAGUGUGUGAGCCAAGAGACUAAGUAUCAUGGGUGCAGGGGUUUUCCGGCACGGCUCCAAAGCCUGGCACGUGAGAGGUGCGCAGUGAAUAUUUGACUGGAUGAAUGAAAUCCUGCUUGUUCUCCUCACCUGGAUAUCAUAUCAGCCUUACUGGGCUCCAACUCCACAGGGAAGCAGAGAAGCACGAAUGACUAGGGUGAAGCCGACCUUUGCGGAGCCCACGCAGAAAAGAUGCCUCCAGGACCCCAGAGUGGGACAGCUCUUUUGGACAACAUGCUUCAGUACUGGAGGCAGCAUCUUCUCAUAAAUCGUCUACAAGACAACGUGCUUUGGAACUCAAAGAAGCAUCUCUUUUCACAUAACCAAUUACAGAACUAAUUACAAACUGUUUUUAUCUGUUCAUUAAGGUAGAUAUAAUUAAGGCAACAUUUUGUUAAACUAGUUUGAGUGUGUGCUGUAGAGUAAUAAUUACUACUUUUAUUUCUUUGCGAUCCUUUCUAAUUUGUCUUGGCUUCAUCUAAAGCCACCUCCUGUUCUUUCUUGCUCUCUGCUCUUCAUCACAAAGGCUUAGGCCCCUUGUCCUGCACCCCUGUCACUUUCCUGGUUACGUUCCCCCUCUCUUGCUGUCCCCUCAAAUUGUGCUUCCUCAGGGGGGCCUCCCUGAUGCCCCAGACUGGAGAAGUCCUUUGGCGUAAUCCCCCCCCCACUCACCAUUCCACUGUUGCAUCGAUAUGCACCUGUCACCUGUGCUUCCCACUGCACCGUGAGCUUCUCGAAGCCCAGGCCUCAGGCCUGUGCCAUUUCCUUCUGUGUCCCGAGUGCCCCAGACAAUGCUUGGCUGUUGGUUAUAUUCAAUAAACAUCGGUGGAUUGAUUCGUGGUA